rnacentral:rRNA from 1 species
AACAGGAUUAGAUACCCUGGUAGUCCACGCCCUAAACGAUGUCAACUGGUUGUUGGGAGGGUUUCUUCUCAGUAACGUAGCUAACGCGUGAAGUUGACCGCCUGGGGAGUACGGCCGCAAGGUUGAAACUCAAAGGAAUUGACGGGGACCCGCACAAGCGGUGGAUGAUGUGGUUUAAUUCGAUGCAACGCGAAAAACCUUACCUACCCUUGACAUGCCAGGAAUCUUGCAGAGAUGUGAGAGUGCUCGAAAGAGAACCUGGACACAGGUGCUGCAUGGCCGUCGUCAGCUCGUGUCGUGAGAUGUUGGGUUAAGUCCCGCAACGAGCGCAACCCUUGUCAUUAGUUGCUACGAAAGGGCACUCUAAUGAGACUGCCGGUGACAAACCGGAGGAAGGUGGGGAUGACGUCAGGUCAUCACGGCCCUUAUGGGUAGGGCUACACACGUCAUACAAUGGCCGGGACAGAGGGCUGCCAACCCGCGAGGGGGAGCUAAUCCCAGAAACCCGGUCGUAGUCCGGAUCGCAGUCUGCAACUCGACUGCGUGAAGUCGGAAUCGCUAGUAAUCGCGGAUCAGCUUGCCGCGGUGAAUACGUUCCCGGGUCUUGUACACACCGCCCGUCACACCAUGGGAGCGGGUUCUGCCAGAAGUAGUUAGCCUAACCGCAAGGAGGGCGAUUACCACGGCAGGGUUCGUGACUGGGGUGAAGUCGUAACAAGGUAACC